rnacentral:rRNA from 1 species
CGUAGGUGGCAAGCGUUGUCCGGAUUUAUGGGUUUAAAGGGUGCGUAGGCGGCUUUGUAAGUCAGUGGUGAAAUACUCCAGCUCAACUGGAGAGGUGCCAUUGAUACUGCAGAGCUAGAGUACUGAUGAGGUAGGCGGAAUGGACGGUGUAGCGGUGAAAUGCUUAGAUAUCGUCCAGAACACCGAUAGCGAAGGCAGCUUACCAAAGAGUAACUGACGCUGAGGCACGGAAGUGUGGGGAUCAAACAGGAUUAGAUACCCUGGUAGUCCACACUGUAAACGUUGAUCACUAGAUGUUGGCGAUACACUGCCAGCGUUCCAGCAAAAGCGAUAAGUGAUCCACCUGGGGAGUACGCCCGCAAGGGUG